rnacentral:rRNA from 1 species
CCUACGGGAGGCAGCAGUGGGGAAUAUUGCACAAUGGAGGGAACUCUGAUCCAGCGACGCAGCGUGCGUGAAGAAGUAAUUCGUUAUGUAAAGCUCUAUCAGCAGGGAAGAAAGUGACGGUACCUGAAAAAGAAGCUCCGUCUAAAUACGUGCCAGCAGCCGCGGUAAUACGUAUGGAGCAAGCGUUAUCCGGAUUUUCUGGGUGUAAAGGGAGUGUAGGUGGCAGAGCAAGUCCGAAGUGAAAACCCAAAGCUCAACUAUGGGAAUGCUUUAGAAACUGGUCAGCUAGAGUGCAGGAGAGGCAAGUGGAAUUCGUAGUGGAGCGGUGAAAUGCGUAGAUAUUAGGAGGAACACCAGUGGCGAAGGCAGCUUGCUGGACUGUAACUGACAUUGAUGCUCGAAGGUGUGGGUAUCGAACAGGAUUAGAUACCCCAGUAGUC